rnacentral:tRNA from 1 species
GGGAAUGUAGCUUAGUGGUAGAGUGCUUGCCUUGCAUGCAUGAGGCCCUAGGUUCAAUUCCUCAGCACCA